AUUGAACGCUGGCGGCGUGCCUAAUACAUGCAAGUCGACCUUAGUGGCGAACGGGUGAUUAACACGUGGGUAAUCUGCCCAGCAGACGGGUAUAACAGUUGGAAACAGGUGCUAAUACUGUAUACUGAUGGAUGGACUAGCGGGGCAGUAGCUAGUUGGUGGGGUAACGGCUCACCAAGGCCACGAUGCAUAGCCGACCUGAGAGGAGGAUCGGCCACAUUGGGACUGAGAAACGGCCCAAACUCCUACGGGAGGCAGCAGUGGGGAAUCUUCGGCAAUGGACGAAAGUCUGACCGAGCAACGCCGCGUGAGUGAAGAAGGUUUUCGGAUCGUAAAGCUCUGUUGUUAGAGAAGCGGUAUCUGACCAGAAAGCCACGGCUAACUACGUGCCAGCAGCCGCGGUAAUAC
rnacentral:rRNA from 1 species